rnacentral:rRNA from 1 species
CCUACGGGUGGCAGCAGUGAGGAAUAUUGGUCAAUGGGCGGGAGCCUGAACCAGCCAAGCAGCGUGAGGGAAGAAGGUCCUGCGGAUUGUAAACCUCUUUUGUAAAGGAAUAAAGGGAGGGACUUGUGCCCUGAUGAGUGUACUUGAUGAAUAAGGAUCGGCUAACUCCGUGCCAGCAGCCGCGGUAAUACGGAGGAUCCGAGCGUUAUCCGGAUUUAUUGGGUUUAAAGGGAGCGGAGAUGGCAUGUUAAGUCAGUUGUUAAAGUUGGCGGCCCAACCGUCAAAUGGCCAUUGAUACUGGCAGCCUUGAGUACGGUUGAGGUACGCGGAAUUCGUGGUGUAGCGGUGAAAUGCUUAGAUAUCACGAAGAACCCCGAUUGCGAAGGCAGCCUAC